rnacentral:rRNA from 1 species
AUUGAACGCUGGCGGAAUGCUUUACACAUGCAAGUCGAGCGGCAGCACGGGGGCAACCCUGGUGGCGAGCGGCGAACGGGUGAGGAAUACAUCGGAACAUGCCCAGUCGUGGGGGAUAACACUUCGAAAGAAGUGCUAAUACCGCAUACGUCCUGAGGGAGAAAGCGGGGGAUCUUCGGAGCUCGCGCGAUUGGGGUGGCCGAUGUCAGAUUAGCUAGUUGGUGGGGUAAAGGCCUACCAAGGCAACGAUCUGUAGCUGGUCUGAGAGGAUGAUCAGCCACACUGGGACUGAGACACGGCCCAGACCCCUACGGGAGGCAGCAGUGGGGAAUUUUGGACAAUGGGGGCAACCCUGAUCCAGCCAUUCCGCGUGAGUGAAGAAGGCCUUCGGGUUGUAAAGCUCUUUCGGCAGGAACGAAACGGCGAGCUCUAACAUAGCUUGCUAAUGACGGUACCUGAAGAAGAAGCACCGGCUAACUACGUGCCAGCCGCCGCGGUAAGAC